ACUCCUACGGGAGGCAGCAGUGGGGAAUAUUGCACAAUGGGCGCAAGCCUGAUGCAGCCAUGCCGCGUGUAUGAAGAAGGCCUUCGGGUUGUAAAGUACUUUCAGCAGUGAGGAAGGUGGAUAUGUUAAUAGCAUAUUCAUUUGACGUUAGCUGCAGAAGAAGCACCGGCUAACUCCGUGCCAGCAGCCGCGGUAAUACGGAGGGUGCGAGCGUUAAUCGGAAUUACUGGGCGUAAAGCGCAUGCAGGUGGUUUGUUAAGUCAGAUGUGAAAGCCCGGGGCUCAACCUCGGAAUUGCAUUUGAAACUGGCAAACUAGAGUACUGUAGAGGGGGGUAGAAUUUCAGGUGUAGCGGUGAAAUGCGUAGAGAUCUGAAGGAAUACCGGUGGCGAAGGCGGCCCCCUGGACAGAUACUGACACUCAGAUGCGAAAGCGUGGGGAGCAAACAGGAUUAGAUACCCUGGUAGCUCUGC
rnacentral:rRNA from 1 species